GCCAGGUGUGGUGGCGGGCACCUGUAGUCCCAGCUACUCAGGAGGCUGAGGCAGGAGAAUUGCUUGAACCUGGGAGGCAGAGGUUGCAGUGAGCCAAGAUUGCACCACUGCACUCCAGCCUGGGUGACAGAGCGAGACCCUGUCUCAA
rnacentral:SRP_RNA from 1 species